rnacentral:tRNA from 1 species
UACAUUUUGGUGUAUGGUGCACAAAAAUUUUUGAUUUUUUAGGUAAUAGUUUAAUUCUAUUGAGUGUAA